GCGGCGAGAGGAGCCCGAGCUCGGGCCUCGGAGCGGGGGGCGGCGGAGGCGGCAGCGCGGGGGGAUUUAUAGACUCGCAGAGCAUAAAUGAUGAAAAGAGUUCCUGUGAAGCAUAAGAAUCCCUGAUUGUGGACAUGCCCCACAAGGAUCUUUAACUGUAAAGUGAGGAAAAGUAUGAAAGAACAUCUGGUUGACUGCCCAGGUUGAAGACCACCACGUCCAUCAGAAGACCCAGGGUGGAUCUGUGUCAAAGCACCACCAUCACCUUCCUUGAGAACUGGUGUUUGGCAUACAUCCAAGAGAAAUUGGGAAAUCAGUUAUCAGCAAUUCUCAUAUCCAAUUAAUUUCUCAAAGUUUGGACCUGACACCAGAUAUAGGUAAUUAGUGAUCCCAGGAAAGUAUUCAGCUGCAGUCCCCUGCCCAGAGAGUGACAGGAGGGGCAGGUACCCUGGUACAUGUUCCUCCUUGCAGGCAGCCACUGGGAGAAUGUCAAGAGAACCUACAAACUGGACAUCAUCAAAUAUGCUUGGGAAAACAGCCACUAAGCGGAGUCACUUGGGGUUGUAUUAGUCAGUUGAUGCAAAAUACCAGAAAUUGGUUGGUUUUAGAAGGGUAUUUAUUUGGGGCAGGAGCUUACAGAUACCAGGCCAUAAAGCAUAAGUUACUUUCCUCGCCAAAGUCUAUUUGGAGCAAGAUGGCUGCCAACAUCUGUGAGAGUUCAGGCUUCCUGGGUUCCUACGUUCCUGGGCCUUGCUUUACUC
rnacentral:lncRNA from 1 species